GAUGAACGCUGGCGGCGUGCCUAAUACAUGCAAGUCGAGCGAACGGACGAGAAGCUUGCUUCUCUGAUGUUAGCGGCGGACGGGUGAGUAACACGUGGAUAACCUACCUAUAAGACUGGGAUAACUUCGGGAAACCGUAGCUAAUACCGGAUAAUAUUUUGAACCGCAUGGUUCAAAAGUGAAAGACGGUCUUGCUGUCACUUAUAGAUGGAUCCGCGCUGCAUUAGCUAGUUGGUAAGGUAACGGCUUACCAAGGCAACGAUGCAUAGCCGACCUGAGAGGGUGAUCGGCCACACUGGAACUGAGACACGGUCCAGACUCCUGCGGGAGGCAGCAGUAGGGAAUCUUCCGCAAUGGGCGAAAGCCUGACGGAGCAACGCCGCAUGAGUGAUGAAGGUCUUCGGAUCGUAAAACUCUGUUAUUAGGGAAGAACAUAUGUGUAAGUAACUGUGCACAUCUUGACGGUACCUAAUCAGAAAGCCACGGCUAACUACGUG
rnacentral:rRNA from 1 species